UCGAGAAUCUUCGGCAAUGGGCGCAAGCCUGACCGAGCGACGCCGCGUGGAGGAUGAAGGCCUUCGGGUUGUAAACUCCUGUCGAGGGGGAGGAAGGUCGGGCAACCGGCUUGACCGAUCCCUGGAGGAAGCACGGGCUAAGUUCGUGCCAGCAGCCGCGGUAAGACGAACCGUGCGAACGUUAUUCGGAAUCACUGGGCUUAAAGCGCGUGUAGGCGGAUGGGAACGUCGGUCGCUGAAAUCCCCCGGCUCAACCGGGGAACGGGCGCCGAAACGACCCGUCUGGAGGGACGUAGGGGGACCUGGAACUUCCGGUGGAGCGGUGAAAUGCGUUGAGAUCGGAAGGAACGCCCGUGGCGAAAGCGAGGUCCUGGACGUCUACUGACGCUGAGACGCGAAAGCUAGGGUAGCGAACGGGAUUAGAUACCCCCGUAGUCC
rnacentral:rRNA from 1 species